GCCGUCUUAGCUCAGUGGUAGAGCAAUCGCUUUGUAAGCGAUGGGUCCAGGGUUCGAAUCCCUGAGACGGCU
rnacentral:tRNA from 1 species